UUCAUAUUCACAAAUUAAGCAUUUAGUCUGGGUAAUAAAUCAGGGCGGUUUACGAGGUUUACACGAGACAAACAAGCAAGCAGGGCACAACACAAGCCCCUGGAAGCGGCGUGCGCGGAGCUGCCAGGAGUCGGGAGCCCCACGCGCUCGCACGCCGAAAGCAGCCCCGGCGCGCCCUGACACGCCGCCAGCACCCACACUUCGGCUGGUCCCCGAGCGGGCGGAGCGGAGAGGUGCAGGGGAGCAGCCCCAGCCUGAGCCCACACCCCUCCAACCUUCCGCACGAACCCGCGGCGCCCGGCGCGCCCCAGUUCUGGGCAACUCGGCGCCCCCGCCCCGCCAGGGAGGGGCCGCUGGCAUAGGCGACAGCCUCAACCGGUACACACCCUGCGGUGGGCCCAUUAAGCCGAGAAGCCGAGGAAACUGGAUGCCCCCUCCCCCACCUCUUCCAUCCGGCUGGGCUUGGCCUUAAAGAUCCCAGGCCCACAGUCGCAAGCAAUACGAAGGAUCCUCUCCACAUCCACGUGUGACCUCCACUGAGCCUGGGCGCUAGGCACCGCCCCCCCACCCCAAUCUCUCCGCGUUGCCUCCUCCCAGGUUUCGGUCCCAGCAGCCACAAAGCUACUUUCAGAUUCAGAAAGGGUGGGGGGGCGGGGGAAGGGCUCUCUUUUAGAGUGGAUCAAGGCUUAAGAGAGGCACGGGGAGGGGAGCAAAGGCACCAAAACAGGGCUCUGGGCCCCGCUGCAGAGACCCGCGUCCGGGCUUUAGUGACCACCCAAACUCAGGGGGCUUCAACCUGUGUGUUUCCCGCCCUCCCCCGUGCAUCAACGAGAAGUGGACCUGGACAGGGGGUCUCAGACCAGUACCAGCCUAGGACCUUGGGAGACUCUGAAGGGAAGAGCGGCUCCAGGUCACCCCGUCCGAGCCUUCGGCGCCGUGCCAUGCUCAAGUUCCCUAUCGAUUGGCGUUCUCAGCGCUAUCGUGGCGGCAGAGAGACGGAGGGCGGGAAAUCGGGAAGCCGGAACCUGCAGCCCACCCUGGACCUGAGAGGGGGGCAGGCGUGCUGGGAGGCCACCACCCUCAAUUGAAUUGACAUUCCAGCUUCCCCAUCGCAAAACCCCUACGGCAAAGCCCAUGCCCUGACUUUCCAACAACUGGGAAUCGAGUGGACUUCCCACAAGGAGGAACAGUGUCAUGUGAGAGGAGCUCCUCAGCCUCAAGUUCUCCGCUGCUCCCUUCCACUGCCUGCACAAUGGACCCAGCACGCCACUCCUACUGGGCCAGGAGAGCCUCUUACUCACUGAUCUCCCCUCCACUUCUCCCCACGCUGCCUGGGCAGCCCCGGGACAGAAGUCUCUGAGCUCACCUCUCCAACCUCGAAUGAAGCUGAGCGUUUUCUCCAGGCUGUUGACUCUGCGGCACGCUGGCUGUACACACACACACCACGAGUUGUUCUCGCCCUUCCUGGGGGCCUCCCUUCUCAUCUCCCUGCUGGGCGCCCUCGAAACCUGACUACUCAGCCUGAGUGCAGAGCCCUGGCAGAGUGGGGAGCCUGGAGGACCAAGGGGAGGUGGCCAAGGGAGAGAAGGAGAGGGCCCGUAAUGGAGGAGGGGCCCCGCAUGCCUGAGAGAAAAGAAGCCAGCCUGCAGCCACAGCCUGGAGGAGAGGGGGAGUAUAAAGGGAAAGCCAACACUAAUCCCUCAGCCUACCUACGUGGGGCCUGACAGUUUACAAAAGCCUUUUCCCUGAAUAUUAUCUCAUUCACUCCGGGCUAUAAGGAAGGUAGGGCAGAUAGCGUUACCCUCACUGACAGAGGAGAGAGAUGACGCCCAGAGAGGUUAAGAUAGGUCUGUACCAAGGUUGCAGAGCUAAGAGUGGUGGAGGAGCCCCCAGGCCUGGGGUUUCCUGCUCCCAAGUUCACGUUCCUGUUCAAUAGCUCUGUGUGUGUGAGUCUGGGUGACUAUCUGUGUGGAGGGGAAGGUGGGGGGUGGCUGGACAGGAAUGAGCAGUCCAGUGAGGGAAGUCCAGGAAGGAAGGACAUAGCCUCAUACCUCUUCCUCUACUCAGGUCUCAGCCAGCAGCCUCCUGCUCUUUCCGUAGCAGCCUGUGAGCCGGCCCCCAACUCGCCUGCCCAGGGGUGAGCUGUCUGUGGCUCCAGCAGUGGCUAUUCCAGAGGGCUUAUAUCUUUGGGAGGCCCCGCUCUGCUUGUCUGCUCGGCUCUCCUCUCUGCCUGUCAUCCCCACCCCCAGCCUCGGCUGCAGGAUGCCUUGCGUCCAACUGUGGUUUCCGGGCAAUAAAACAACUAUUAAAGUCUCA
ensembl:lncRNA